rnacentral:rRNA from 1 species
AUGGUGAUAGUGGUCGCUCAUGUUCAUCUCGACUGCCGAAAUCAUGUGCCCUUAGCGGACGUUGUACUCCUCGGCAGUGGCCACUAUCAGCGAGCGGCGGCGGCCAAGGCGAAGGGAUCCAUGCAGAUCGUGAGCAACCGUCCAUGCACGACUGCGGCAGACCGGAACACGAGUGGGAGGCGGCGGAUUCCCCAUGGAAGGCCGAGGAGUGGCAGGGGUAGAGGUGUAUGCAGGAGGGAGGGAAGAGAAAGGGCUGGUGCUAUGGCCCGCGGGACGGGAGGACGUGCCAGUGACGAGGGAAGCGAAGGGCGGAGCGGCAGGAGGCCUAGCGGGUUGAUGAGAUCCCGUGCAGUAGCUCGCAACAAACCCUAG